rnacentral:rRNA from 1 species
CUACGGGCUGCAGCAGUGAGGAAUAUUGCACAAUGGGGGGAAUCCUGAUGCAGCAACGCCGCGUGGAGGAUGACGCAUUUCGGUGUGUAAACUCCUUUUAUAUGUCAAGAAAAUGACGGUAGCAUAUGAAUAAGCACCGGCUAACUCCGUGCCAGCAGCCGCAGUAAUACGGAGGGUGCAAGCGUUACUCGGAAUCACUGGGCGGAAAGGACGCGUAGGCGGGUUGGAAAGUCAGGUGUGAAAUCCUACAGCUUAACUGUAGAACUGCACUUGAAACUUCUAAUCUAGAGUAUGGGAGGGGGAGAUGGAAUUAGUGGUGUAGGGGUAAAAUCCGUAGAUAUCACUAGGAAUACCUAAAGCGAAGGCGAUCUCCUGGAACAUUACUGACGCUAAGGCGUGAAAGCGUGGGGAGCAAACAGGAUUAGAUACCCCUGUAGUC